AUGGCGUUGACGAUUCUGAUGAUGGUGAGGAUGACCACUGUAACGACGGCAGUGCCGGAAAGACGGAUUUCAGAAGUGACAGUAGAUGUCAGCCACCCUAGUUGCCAGCACACAAGGACAUCUGAAAGAAGUAACCUGAAUGUGGCCAAGACAGCUAACAAGGACCAUUUGGUUAUAGCCUACAACCAUCUUUUUGAAAGUAAGCAUUUCAAGGGUACGGAAAGUAUAAGUGUCUGAGCAGGUGAAAAAUGUGAAGCUUAAUGAAGAUAAACCCAAAGAAACCAAGUCUGAAGAGACUCUGGAUGAGGGUCCAACAAAAUAUAUAAAAUCUGUUCUUAAAAAAGGAGAUAAAACCAACUUUCCCAAAAAGGGUGAUGUUGUUCACUGCUGGUAUACAGGAACACUACAGGAUGGGACUGUUUUUGAUACUAAUAUUCAAACAAGUUCAAAGAAGAAGAAAAAUGCCAAGCCUUUAAGUUUUAAGGUUGGAAUAGGCAAAGUUAUCAGAGGAUGGGAUGAAGCACUCUUAACUAUGAGUAAAGGAGAAAAGGCUCGACUAGAGAUUGAACCAGAAUGGGCUUAUGGAAAGAAAGGACAGCCUGAUGCCAAAAUUCCACCAAACACAAAACUCAUUUUUGAAGUAGAAUUAGUGGAUAUUGACUGAAAUAGCAGCAAUGCUUCAGAUAUAAUGACAUCAGCAACAAUAAAACAUUGCCUUGAAGAAACUUAUAUAACUAAUUAGAGCUGGUUACUAUUGUAAGGGAAGAGUCAACUGGAAAAUUCAAGAGCUCAGAUAUUGUUUACCCAAUCCCCAACUUUUAAUAUAUGUAAUCCAUUAUAAUUCCCUAAAGUUUGAAAUAUUUUACUACAGCUAUGUAAAAUACUGGUUAAGGAGAAAUGACUUUCCUUUACCUCAUGUUGUAAACUAAAAGGCUCAAUAAAAACAUAUUCAGUGUC